rnacentral:misc_RNA from 1 species
GAAAUGCGAUACGUAGUGUGAAUUGCAGAAUUCCGUGAACCAUCGAAUCUUUGAACGCACAUUGCGCCCCCUGGUAUUCCGGGGGGCAUGCCUGUUCGAGCGUCAUUUCACCACUCAAGCCUCGCUUGGUAUUGGGCGACGCGGUCCGCCGCGCGCCUCAAAUCGACCGGCUGGGUCUUCCGUCCCCUCAGCGUUGUGGAAACUAUUCGCUAAAGGGUGCCGCGGGAGGUCACGCCGCAAAACAACCCCAUUUCUAAGGUUGACCUCGGAUCAGGUAGGGAUACCCGCUGAACUUAAGC